GAUGUGUAUAUAUUUCUGAGACUGCGGACGUCUGUGCUCUGCGCUGUGUGGUGCGCGUCUGUAAAUCACGGGCACUAAUCAUGUUCGCUUAUGACAUUUCCAGGCAACGGCGCAACGAGGGCCACACAACAACGGCCGUCGACAUUGUGUCUCCAUAUCAUAUCGCAUCUGUGACGGCAGGUUGCGGCAUAUCAAGGGCGUUGAUAGGUGGGCCGAGAAAAACCGUUGGACACAGCGUUGUCGUUGAAUGCAGGGGACUUUGACGCAUUGGCCAACCAUCCCAUCAAUGCUGCCAAGCACCGAAUGGGAGAAAAGUCAGCAGAAAGCGUUGCCAAAACACGCGGUGAACUGCCGUCGUUAAAAUGUGGGUGCGGUUCUUCUAUAUAGUCUACAUCCUACUCGUCCUCAUUCGAAUGCGUUUUGUUUUUUCCCUCUCGUUGCUGGUAUAUCUCUGUCGAAAAUGCAAACAUUUUCGGGCUGGAAACUUGCGACGCAUAUUUGCGUUUCCGAAUAGCGCGUCAACAGUUGCCUCCCGCCUCCACCUAUCUAUACAGCAUUAGCGCACCAAAGUUAGCAUUUUUGAUUGUAUUUGUAUAUAUUAUGUAAGACUGUAUAGGCCUAAUACGGGAAUUUUCACUGCAACUAUACGUAUAUUUUCAUAUGCGGACCAUGUGUUUUUUCUUGGUGGUGUUUGCUUUGAGACCAUCAAGAUGAGCCAUACGUACAAUAUAUUUAAGGCAACGCAGAAAAAUAUGUAGAGAGAGAAUAACGUUUUCCAUGUUUUUGUGCACCAGCGUUUUGCCUUUGUUUUGUUUCGGUGUCGUAUUUUGGCCCGCCGCCUUGCGCCAUUUGACAUCAUUUGCAUGUUGGCUGUUGUGGCAGUUUUUUUUUUAUUAUUAUUUCCCAAGAAAGAAAGAAAAAAUAGAAAAUGAAAAAUGAAACAAAAAUUGAAUUGCGUAAAAUUGACGUCCAUCUUUUUUUUUAUUUGAUAUAUUCGCUGAAUAAUAUUAAUUAUAUGGAAGUCGUGUUUGAUUAUAUAUACACAGGUGAUGGUGAUAUGGGCGAGGGUGUUGAGUUGAUUACGGGGGAACAGUUUUUUUCAUUAUGCAGAUGAUCUUAUGGAAAACUCGUUUUUGACUGGAUCAAAAGAACAAAGGGACGACACGGAAACUGUAUACAAUG